UACGGAGGGUGCGAGCGUUAAUCGGAAUUACUGGGCGUAAAGCGCGCGUAGGUGGUUUGAUAAGCUAGCUGUGAAAGCCCCGGGCUCAACCUGGGAACUGCAGUUAGAACUGUCUGGCUAGAGUAUAGUAGAGGGUGGCGGAAUUUCCUGUGUAGCGGUGAAAUGCGUAGAUAUAGGAAGGAACAUCAGUGGCGAAGGCGGCCACCUGGACUAAUACUGACACUGAGGUGCGAAAG
rnacentral:rRNA from 1 species